AUUGAACGCUAGCGGAAUGCUUUACACAUGCAAGUCGAACGGCAGCACGGGGCAACCUGGUGGCGAGUGGCGAACGGGUGAGUAAUACAUCGGAACGUGCCCAAUCGUGGGGGGAUAACGUAGCGAAAGUUACGCUAAUACCGCAUACGAUCUACGGAUGAAAGCGGGGGAUCGCAAGACCUCGCGCGAUUGGAGCGGCCGAUGUCAGAUUAGGAGUUGGUGGGGUAAAGGCUCACCAAGCCGACGAUCUGUAGCUGGUCUGAGAGGACGACCAGCCACACUGGGACUGAGACACGGCCCAGACU
rnacentral:rRNA from 1 species